AGAGUUUGAUCCUGGCUCAGAACGAACGCUGGCGGCGUGGAUAAGACAUGCAAGUCGAGCGCUGAUUACAGGGUAGCAAUAUUCUGUGGUCGGAGCGGCGCAGGGGUGCGUAACACGUGGGGUAAUCUGCCAUGAAGUCUGGAAUAACUUGCUGAAAGGCGAGCUAAUACCGGAUGUGAAAAUUGGAAGGCAUCUUUUGAUUUUCAAAGCUGGGGACCGUAAGGCCUGGCGCUUCAUGAUGAGCCCGCGGCCUAUCAGCUAGUUGGUAAGGUAACGGCUUACCAAGGCUAAGACGGGUAGCUGGUCUGAGAGGACGACCAGCCACACUGGAACUGAGACACGGUCCAGACACCUACGGGUGGCAGCAGUCGAGAAUUUUUCACAAUGGGCGCAAGCCUGAUGGAGCGACGCCGCGUGGGGGAUGAAUGGCUUCGGCCCGUAAACCCCUGUCAUUUGCGAGCAAACCUUGUUAUUUAAAAGAUGACGAGCUGAUAGUAGCGAAAGAGGAAGGGACGGCUAACUCUGUGCCAGCAGCCGCGGUAAUACAGAGGUCCCAAGCGUUGUUCGGAUUCACUGGGCGUAAAGGGUGCGUAGGUGGCGAGGUAAGUCGGAUGUGAAAGCUCGGAGCUCAACUCCGAAAUGGCAUUGGAAACUACCUUGCUCGAGGGUUGGAGGGGGGACUGGAAUGCUUGGUGUAGCAGUGAAAUGCGUAGAUAUCAAGCGGAACACCAGUGGCGAAGGCGAGUCCCUGGACAACUCCUGACACUGAGGCACGAAAGCUAGGGGAGCAAACAGGAUUAGAUACCCUAGUAGUCC
rnacentral:rRNA from 1 species